rnacentral:rRNA from 1 species
UACGUAGGGUGCGAGCGUUAAUCGGAAUUACUGGGCGUAAAGUGUGCGCAGGCGGCCGCGCAAGUCGAGUGUGAAAGCCCCGGGCUUAACUUGGGAAUUGCGCUCGAAACUACGUGGCUGGAGUGUGGCAGAGGAAGGUGGAAUUCCACGUGUAGCGGUGAAAUGCGUAGAGAUGUGGAGGAACACCAAUGGCGAAGGCAGCCCUUCUGGGCCAACACUGACGCUCAUGCACGAAAGCGUGGGAGCAAACAGGAUUAGAAACC